rnacentral:rRNA from 1 species
GACGAACGCUGGCGGCGUGCUUAACACAUGCAAGUCGAACGGUGAAGCGCCUUCCUUUUUGGUGGGUGUGGAUGAGUGGCGAACGGGUGAGUAACACGUGAGUAACCUGCCCCCUUCUUCUGGAUAACCGCAUGAAAGUGUGGCUAAUACGGGAUAUUCUGGGUCUGUCGCAUGAUGGGUCUGGGAAAGAUAUUGUUUCGGUGGGGGAUGGGCUCGCGGCCUAUCAGCUUGUUGGUGGGGUGAUGGCCUACCAAGGCGGUGACGGGUAGCCGGCCUGAGAGGGUGGACGGUCACACUGGGGCUGAGACACGGCCCAGACUCCUACGGGAGGCAGCAGUGAGGAAUAUUGCACAAUGGGCGCAAGCCUGAUGCAGCGACGCCGCGUGAGGGAUGGAGGCCUUCGGGUUGUGAACCUCUUUCGCCAGUGAAGCAGGCCUGCCUCGUUUGUGGGUGGGUUGACGGUAGCUGGAUAAGAAGCGCCGGCUAACUACGUG